AUUGAACGCUGGCGGCAGGCCUAACACAUGCAAGUCGAACGAGUGGCGGACGGGUGAGUUAUGUCUGGGAAACUGCCCGAUGGAGGGGGAUAACUACUGGAAACGGUAGCUAAUACCGCAUACCAGCGGAUGGGCCGAGUUUGGAUUAGCUAGGAGGUGGGGUAACGGCUCACCUAGGCGAGGAUCCCUAGCUGGUCUGAGAGGAUGACCAGCCAGACUGGAAUGGAGACACGGUCCAGACUCAUACGGGAGGCAGCAGUGGGGAAUAUUGCACAAUUGGCGCAAGCCUGAUGCAGCCAUGCCGCGUGUAUGAAGAAGGUCUUCGGUUUGUAAAGUACUUUCAGUGAGGAGGCGUUACCCGCAGAAGAUGCACCGGCUAACUCCGUGCCAGCAGCCGCGGUAAUUC
rnacentral:rRNA from 1 species